UGUUCUCUCACUCUUUUUGUCCCAGUCUUCUUGCAAGUGACGAGGUUUCUUCUUCUUCUUGUCUUUUAAAUGCCGAGGGGAAACCAACUAAAUGGUGCAUUACCGCCACCCAGGACAGGUAUCGCACCACAAAGUGACUGCCACAAAUCCAUUGCGCGCACUGCCACGUUAACGCGUUUGUCUCGGUUUGUGUAGGACAACAGCUACUCAUUUAGGUCUUAAUCUGCCAUAACUUAACUAAAUAUGAUCCGCUACACAUUUUCUAGUGGCCGUAGUGGCGCCACGUAUUUUAGAUUUUGUGUAAACGACCGUAAUAACGAUCGUAUUUUUCUAUACAACGAUGGUCGAUGGUGGCUGUUUAAGUAUGACAUGACGCUAGGACUCAGAUCUACGACUAAUUAUAACAGCAACAUGUUUGUUCUUCCACAUUUUGUGUCUUUUUUCACAUUUUGUGAUUGAAACUGCACACGUGACCACCGAGUUAUUUUACCACUUUUAAUAUCCGUAUGAGAUCAGUUAAACCAGUAAGAUACUUUCAUGCUGCCAAAGCGUGAUUAUUAAAGGGGUCACAUGCAAUGCAUCCACUUUUUAGACAUUCUAGAGCGUUCCUAUGACUAUGGGUCACAUUUACACACACUGAGCACGGUAGAAAUGCAUUUCCUCCUUUUUUCACAUUUUGAGACAUUAUCCAAUGGAGACAGACCUCUUCCUACUCUGAAACCUUGACCCCCUUGUCGUCACAGAUGUAGGAAGUCCUCCCUGCAAAUCCUGAACCACCACCCCCACAAUGACACCGAACCAAAACUGGACUUCCGCCAUUUCCCCCCCUCUCACUCACCGUGAACAGACGAGCACGGCAGCGCCCAAGUCCUCCCAUAGAAAUAGUUCGGUUCUUGGGUGUUCUAACCAACACCAAAGUCUAUUCACUUUACCAAGGGAUCAACAAGUGAGGACUUUGUGGGUCACUUUUAUUUUUAACGGACCGGUGCCAGAAACACUGCCUCAGCGUUUAUACGUAUGUGCAUUUCAAACAAGGGUGCGUACAAUGCUGGAUUUGUUUUACGGCUCCUGUUGGAAAAAAAGGAUCUAUUCCUAUAGUCCGUCAUUCACUCACUGAAGGGGACACAUCCCAGUUACCCACAUGCAAGGAGGCUGUCAAACAGAGAAAUCACUGCAGACUGUUGGUACACAGACAUCUGCUGCCCAGCUCAGGAGUGAAGUACCUUUGUUUUGAUGAGGUGAUGGUGAGGACAGCCACAGCUUCCAUCUGGUAGAGGACUGCUUCCGCUCAGUCUUCCAAAUAGUGAUGAGAACAAGGAUCACCACAUCUCCCUGGUUAUCUGUCUACAACUAUACCUGUCCUGCUGCAGAAACAAAUCUCCAACAUAACCAAGUGUACCCCCUACCCAGGACAUGGACUGUUUACCCUACUUCCAUCAAGCAUUUCAUCUGCAAGGCCCUGCAAAAGCUUCUGUCCUCAAACCCCCAGACUUCUUAAUUAACUCAGUAACCUAUACAUUGCACAUUGGAGUAUGAAGAUAACAGUUUGUCCUAGCUUUCGAGUAGUGGUGCAUUUUUUGGUUGACAAAAAGUUGGCUUUAAGUAUUAUGUAUUUCACUGAACCCUGUUUUUCUGAGGGGAAAACACUUUUAUUCAGGAAAUCAUAGUAUUGAAAUUACAUGUUUUCUCUUUCUAAUAUGGUAAGCAAUAAAGGUGAACCAGCCAUAAAUAAAAAGCAUGUGUAAAUAUAAAUUAAAAAUUCAAUUGUUUAAAAAGAUUGUUAAUGAGUAUUGCACACACAAACACAUUUCUACUCAAAUGUUAAAGGAGUUAUUCCACAGGUGGUCUACAUCCAUCAUA